GGGUAGUAGAUCCCCGAGAUGGGCAUCCUAAAUGUCCAAGGGGUAGUAGAUCCCCGUGAUGGUCAUUGCUUACUUUAAUGUCCAAGGGGUAGUAGAUCCCCGUGAUGGUCAUUGUUUACUUUAAUGUCCAAGGGGUAGUAGAUCCCCGUGAUGGUCAUUGUUUACUAUGCAAUACACUGUAUAAUACAUUGAUUUGUGUGAGUCUAUGGGGUUGAGGGUGACCUUUGGGAGCACUCCAUCCCCACAAAUACACAGCAUGUGUAUUCCCCAUAGACGAAAAAACCCAACUCCCACCACAACUGUAAUCGUAUAGAAGACAGCUUCUGACAGAUGAUCUUUGUGCUUUUCGAAGACAUAUCGUCUAUAUUUCUCUUUCGACACACUUUAAAUAAUUAAUUGAUUAAAAUCAUGUUAUAUGCAAAUAGAAUUUUUUUUUUUUUUUUUUGAAACUACAAGUUGAUCGUAAGACAUAUAUUUGAGCAUUACCAUCACUCAUACUACAGCUGGAACAUCAGGGAGGCCAGGAAAAACCUGCAAUAUCUUUACAGGAAACCUGGAUGGGGCCAAGACAACCAGCAGCUUCCCCACAAAACUUCUAUCUUACAAGUGCGUGAUUGGAGGGUUGGUAACACAACAAACAAAGCUCACCAUCAUUUUUUUUUUUUUUUUUUUUACGAUUUAUUUAUUUUUAAUGUCAAUGUGCUCGUUGAAUUUUGCAACAUGUAUUUGUUAACUCCACUUAUUUUAUUUGAAUUAUGAUUGGUGGAACUUGACAUAAUAUAAUUCUCGAAUUAUGUAUGUGACUCUUUAAUCUCAGAAAAAUAGCUUGUUCAAUAUUUUAAAAUAGCAGGAUCAAAAAUUCCAAAUGCAAUUCAGGUGUUUAUAACCAAGUGUUGUGAUUGAACAUGCAAUCAUGCAUGCAUGCAUGAGAGUAGCAGAAAUUGUAAGAAUAUGUAUUUGGUAGACUAAAGAUCAUGCAGUAUAGUGAUAAGACACUAAAAUUAAUUUUCAUGAGUAGCGACAUACCAUACACUGUACGUAUACAAAUCUUUCAUGACAUCCAACUUGCCGAUUUAUCGCAAAUGUAGAUAAAGUAGAUCCUAAAUUUCUCUCACACAUGAACUUGAUUUCCUAUGUUGUGCCCAGUAAAGUAUUGAUAAUGUAUACGGGCCAAAUAAUUAAGUGUUUGUUUUAUUAAAGAGUGCCUUGAAAUAGCUAGAAAGGAAGUUUUAUAUAAUCUACUUUUGAAUGAUUGAAUACAGUUUAAUGUGACGCUUUAUUGAAACCCAAUUCCCGAAUCAGAGGCCCAAUCUGGCCAGUUAAUAACCUCAAGAUGGUAAUAAAAUUGACAUUGAAAUACAGAUCGAUUUGCGUGAAUAGUCGAUACAUUUGGCGUUCGACAAUUACUAUACCCGAAUUCUGUGAUAAAAUAAAUGAAGUUAAAGCAUUUUGAUUGGUUUGAAAAGCGAAAUACGAAGCAAACGUGUGAAUUCACCGCAUACUUACGCACCAAAUGCAUGUGCAUACAUAAAUACAUUGAUAUACGAAUGAUAUCAAAUAUCGCUUGUUGAAUUCGUGUUUAGCCUCUCGAUCUUGUUAUAAUUCCCCCAGCGGCGGUUUCAUUUAACUUCAUCGGUUGAGCCAACGUAUUGCUUUGUCCACCAGGAGGGUAAAAGCGCUUGACCACGGUAGAGUUAUACUUGAAUAGACUGCGUCUCACUGAAUCACACAUCGAUACUUGAGCCAACGUAUUCCUUUAUCCACCAGAAGAGUAAAAGCGCCUGCCGAGUUAUAUUUGAAUAAACAUCGUCUUACUGAAUCAUACAUCAAUACAUCAGCCAACGUAUUCCUUUGUCCACCAGAAGAGUAAAAACGGUUGCCCGCGGCAGAGUUAUACUUUACUGAUAAACUGCGUCUCACUGAAUUUAAUAUACGUCAAUACUUGAGCCAACGUAUUCCUUUGUCCACCAGAAGAGUAAAAGUGCUUGCCCGCAGCAGAGCUAUAUUUGAAUAAACUGCGUCUCACUGAAUAAUACUGUGUUACUGACCGUUGUUUUAUAUCCACGAAAUAUCUUUUCCAAAAGUAUAAUUUCGAAGUACUUUGCCGCAGAGGUCAUACAAUUUUGCUUGCAAGUGACACAAUGAGGCUUACUGAUCCAAGCAGGAAACUAUGCAGACGAAGGGGUGAAACCUGAUUGGUCUAUUUUCCCGCACAUGCAUGGGAAGAGAUUUGACAAUGGUUUGUUGUUAAUUCAGCCUUGCGCUUUGCACGUGUAUGAUCACACGAUUCACAGAUUGACCUUUGUACCAGACCUUUGUACUCCAGGAGACUUUGCACAACUUUACUCUUGUCCUAACGCUUGUUUCAUUAACUUAAGUUUAUAAUGCUAUGGGCAUGUAUAAACUUGCU